rfam:Picea glauca, whole genome shotgun sequence.
GGGUGCGAUCAUACCAGUGUUGAUGCACUGGAUCCCAUCAAAACUCCACAGUUAAGUGCGCUUGGGCUAGAGUGGUAAUAGGAUGGGUGACCUCCCAGGAAGUCCUAGUGUUUCACCCU